rnacentral:tRNA from 1 species
GUCCCUGUAGUGGAAUGGAAAAAGCGCGUUGGACUUCUAAUCCAAAGGUCGUAGGUUCAAAUCCUACCUGGGAUG